CAGUCUGCAACUUGUUGGCUUUCUAAUCUCCCAGCAGAAGUUGAAUAGAAAAUAAAUUGGAAUAAGGGUUUUUAUUCUUGUCUGGGCGAUUGAUCUUCGGAGUCUUGUCCAAAGUCGCCGGACUGCUGGAGAGUGACGUGCAGCACUCGGCAAGUAAAGGCCUGAGCUUAAAACAUAGUGCUUCGGCUACCUGUUUCUCCGUCUUCGCUUUUUAUUUGCUUCUGAUACGUUUGAGGAAGAAUCUAUGGAGGCUUACAAGAAAUGGGUCCGGAGGAACAAAGACUAUAUACACUCCCUGGAGUCUCUUGCUAACGGACUAACAUGGUUUCUUCCUGAAAGAUUUUCUGCUUCAGAGAUAGGACCAGAAGCAGUAACUGCUAUUUUGGGCAUAAUCACUGCUAUCAACGAGCACAUAAUCGAAACAACUCCAACCCAGGGGCCUGCAGGCUCUGGUGAGCCUUAUUCAUUCCCUUAUCCACUGUGUAUAUCAGCCCUGAAAGACUUGGAAACAUUGAUUGAAGUGGUGGCGGAACAAUACUAUGGUGAUAAGAAAUGGAAUUUUAUUGCUGUUACUGAAGCUGCUAAGGUGGUUGUUAGAUUAGCUUUGUUUCGGAAUAGUGGAUACAAAAUGCUUCUGCAUGGAGGGGAGACCCCAAACAUUGAGAAGCAAGUAAAUCAUUCAGGUUUCCAGAACAGUGUUGGGGAUUUACCAAAUCCUGGAGGUCAUAACGGGCCUGGUUAUUUACAAAAUUAUGGACGACACCCCAGGACUCUAGAAGGCAGGGCAAUAUCCGCAUUGAACAGGUUUGGAGAAAAUGCUAGAAUGGCAUACCAGCCAGUAUGGUUCAGGAGGGUUCAGCAUCAGCAUGCCAUUAUGGAGCCUUCAAUGGUUGAGAGACGGACUCUUUCCACCAUAUUGUCUGAGAAGGGCAUUCCUGGAGUUUUAUUUGUCAUGGGGGAGCUGCUGUUUAUAACAAGGCCACUCAUUUAUGUUUUGUUUAUCAGAAACUAUGGAAUCCGAUCAUGGACUCCAUGGUUUCUUUCUCUGGUAAUUGACAUUCUUGGUGUGGGCAUUCUAACGCAAGUCACAAAUUCAUGGCGUGGUGGAAAAGAGCAACAUUUUCAUCUUUCCACCUCCGAGAAGGAUGAGAUAAAAAGAAGAAGGUUGUUAUGGGCACUUUACCUCAUGAGAGAUCCUUUUUUCAGCAAGUAUACCAGGCAGAAACUGGAACGUACCGAAAAAAUUUUAGAACCUGUUCCAAUAAUUGGGCUUCUAACAGAAAAAGUUGUUGAGCUUCUUGUUGGAGCUCAAACACGGUAUACUUACAUGUCAGGAUCAUGAGAUCGAAGCGGAAUGACCUCAAGCACUUGAUAGUUACCCACAUUUUUUUAGGUGCAGUAAUCACCCCAAGUGUAGGAUACAUAUGGAAGAAACUUCUUAAACACCAUUACGGAAAACUACAGUUCAUUUGUUUCAUAUACGAGAUGGGAUUGGACAACCAUGAGACAGAGACGGGAGAAGACAGAGCCGUGUUUGGUGUACGUGGGACUGAAUGAAGUUAUUAUGUGUGUAUACAUACUACUGGAUCAUUUUGAUAUAAUAUAUUUUAGGAACAAUGUUAUUGGAAUUUUAAUUUAUUCAAAUGAUUUUAUUUUCACAUUUGGGUAUUGAGUAACUCCAAGAAGAUUUGGUGA